GACGAACGCUGGCGGCGUGCUUAACACAUGCAAGUCGAACGGAAAGGCCCUGCUUUUGUGGGGUGCUCGAGUGGCGAACGGGUGAGUAACACGUGAGUAACCCGCCCUUGACUUUGGGAUAACUUCAGGAAACUGGGGCUAAUACCGGAUAGGAGCUCCUGCUGCAUGGUGGGGGUUGGAAAGUUUCGGCGGUUGGGGAUGGACUCGCGGCUUAUCAGCUUGUUGGUGGGGUAGUGGCUUACCAAGGCUUCGACGGGUAGCCGGCCUGAGAGGGUGACCGGCCACAUUGGGCCUGAGAUACGGCCCAGACUCCUACGGGAGGCAGCAGUGGGGAAUAUUGCACAAUGGGCGGAAGCCUGAUGCAGCAACGCCGCGUGCGUGAUGACGGCCUUCGGGUUGUAAACCGCUUUCGCCUGUGACGAAGCGGGAGUGACGGUAAUGGGUAAAGAAGCACCGGCUAACUACGUG
rnacentral:rRNA from 1 species